UACGGAGGGGGCUAGCGUUGUUCGGAAUUACUGGGCGUAAAGCGCGCGUAGGCGGCUUUGUAAGUUAGAGGUGAAAGCCCGGAGCUCAACUCCGGAAUUGCCUUUAAGACUGCAUCGCUAGAAUCAUGGAGAGGUGAGUGGAAUUCCGAGUGUAGAGGUGAAAUUCGUAGAUAUUCGGAAGAACACCAGUGGCGAAGGCGACUCACUGGACAUGUAUUGACGCUGAGGUGCGAAAGCGUGGGGAGCAAACGGG
rnacentral:rRNA from 1 species